rnacentral:misc_RNA from 1 species
UGUACUGAUUAAAUGAGUAUAAUGCAGGUGUCAGUCCUCUAAACAGACAAGAGGGUUUGCUAUAGCUACAUUUUGUAGUUUCCCUUGAUGUAAGUGGCUUUUUGGAAAAAGGUUUUAAUAUUAUCUGUAUAAAACUAAUUCAAACUUUGAUCUGAAUGAAAUUGUUUCGUUGUUAUUUAUUGAAGUUAUAUAUCAGUUAUCAAGUUUUAAAAAUUAUUUGAUAAUGCUUGGAAAUUCCCAACUCUGUACAGUCAAAUUAAAGAUAUUAAGCAUUACAGUUAUUUUAUUUUGUGAAGCAAUAUUUAUGUUUACAGGUACAAAGUACUUUUGUAGAUGACAUGCUUAGUUUUAUUGUCGUAUCAUAAUUUUAUAUUUUUAUGCUGAGUCUGACACAUUUCUACUUUCAUUUAUUUGUGCAUUGUAUAUAUAUAUCUUAAUUUUCACAAAAUUAUAGAUAUCAAGUGUACAUUUCAAAUGAAGAAAGAAUUCAGGACAUUUAUUAUACACACCAAUCUUUAUCAUUCCAUUUUGUAACUUUUGAUUGACUCAUAUUCAGAAUAAUUUUUUGAACAUAUAUAAUUUUAAUCUACCAUUAUUAUGUUUCUCUUGUCAUUAUGUGUACUUGCUUGACAUUGUUCAUUUUUUACCAAUAUGAAAUAACGAAUAAAUAUAUUUGUAGAAAAUUCUCAU